rnacentral:rRNA from 1 species
AGUGGACGCUGGCGGUAGGCCUAACACAUGCAAGUCGAACGGCAGCACAGUAAGAGCUUGCUCUUACGGGUGGCGAGUGGCGGACGAGUGAGGAAUACAUCGGAAUCUACUUUUUCGUGGGGGAUAACGUAGGGAAACUUACGCUAAUACCGCAUACGACCUACGGGUGAAAGCAGGGGAUCUUCGGACCUUGCGCGAUUGAAUGAGCCGAUGUCGGAUUAGCUAGUUGGCGGGGUAAAGGCCCACCAAGGCGACGAUCCGUAGCUGGUCUGAGAGGAUGAUCAGCCACACUGGAACUGAGACACGGUCCAGACUCCUACGGGAGGCAGCAGUGGGGAAUAUUGGACAAUGGGCGCAAGCCUGAUCCAGCCAUACCGCGUGGGUGAAGAAGGCCUUCGGGUUGUAAAGUCCUUUUGUUGGGAAAGAAAAGCAGCAGGUUAAUACCCCGCUGUUCUGACGGUACCCAAAGAAUAAGCACCGGCUAACUUCGUG